rnacentral:rRNA from 1 species
CCUACGGGAGGCAGCAGUGGGGAAUAUUGCACAAUGGGGGAAACCCUGAUGCAGCGACGCCGCGUGAGUGAAGAAGUAUUUAGGUAUGUAAAGCUCUAUCAGCAGGGAAGAAAAUGACGGUACCUGAUUAAGAAGCCCCGGCUAACUACGUGCCAGCAGCCGCGGUAAUACGUAGGGGGCAAGCGUUAUCAGGAUUUACUGGGUGUAAAGGGGGCGUAGACGGCAGCACAAGUCUGGAGUGAAAUGCCGGGGCUUAACCCCGGAACUGCUUUGGAAACUGUGCAGCUAGAGUGCAGGAGAGGUAAGUGGAAUGCCUAGUGUAGCGGUGAAAUGCGUAGAUAUUAGGAGGAACACCAGUGGCGAAGGCGGCUUACUGGACUGUAACUGACGUUGAGGCUCGAAAGCGUGGGGAGCAAACAGGAUUAGAUACCCUUGUAGUC